rnacentral:lncRNA from 1 species
UUGGUUCAUUUCCCUUAAAGUUGGAAUCAAAAGUUAGCAGAACUUACCUAAAAUCAUGUGCUCCCCCAACACCCAUUUCACAGAUGAGGAAGUAAAGGCAGAAAUAGAAAGAACAACUUAAGCUCAUUAACGACAGAGCAGCCGCCCCAAACCCCACUUCUACUUUCUAGUCCCCUAUACUUUCUAACACUCCCGAGGAUGAAAUUCUUCCUAAGAAUGUUGAGACAAAACUACCUUUUUCGGGAAUUCCUGUUGUGGCUCAGGGGGUUAAGAACCUGACAUGAUGUCCCCGAGGAUGUGGGUUUGAUCCUUAGCCCUGCUCAGUGGGUUAAGGAUCCAGUGUUGCCACAAGCUACGACAUAGGUUGCAGAUGCAGCUCGGAUCUGGCAUUGCUGUAGCAGUGGUGCAGGGCAAUGCCAGAUCUGAAAUGAGUCUGCAACUGACACCACAGCUCACAGCAACGCUGGAUCCUUAACCCACUGAGCGAGGCCAGGGAUCAAACCAGCAACCUCAUGGUUCCUAGUCGGAUUCGUUUCUGCUGCGCCACGACAGGAACUCUUGUUUCAUUCUAUUAAUGCUGGACCACUAUUAGAUCAGAAAUCACAGUGAUAAACCCUCUUUUUAAAAGGAAAGGGCCUUUUGAAAUGUAGAUCCAGAGAGUUUGUAUAUAUAGCAUAGACAAGAUGUAUAUGAUGUAGCACCUUGCUCUUUACAUAAGCCUGGAGAGGGAGGAUGAGGGAAGGAAGGAGGGAGGGAGAGAACGAGAAGGGAAACAUAAAUAUAUUUUAGGUUUCAAAGGAUAAGAAUUUUUAGUUUAGUUUUUACAUUUGGAUAAAAAUCUCCCAAUUUCUCUCCAGUGACAAAUUUCCAAACUGGUAACUUGAACAAAAGCCCAAGCAGAAAAGCAGAUCUGGAGUUUGUGUGCAUUGUGUUGGGAGUCAACAUUUAAAUUUCAUUAACAGGGCAACACAUAGAAGCUUUUCUGUUUCCUAUAAAUGUAUUUCACAUCACAGCAGGCAGAGAAAACAGUUCAUCUUCAACUAGAUCAUGAAUUUUUACAUAAUGAGAUGCUGUGAAAAACAAAAAUAAUGUGAAUACACAGAUAAAUAUUUGCGGGGUGCCUGGGUAUUUUGAUAAAUAGUAUCUGCUCCACACAUGUUCUGCCUUCUUCUGUGAUCUAUAAACCCCCACAGAACGUCUUCCACUCAAUCUGUCUUCAUAUUAUAUCGCCUUUUGUCCUAUGUUUCCAAGCUUUUCUCACUCCAUACUGGUGUCUUUACACUGUGUAAUCUUCCACUCCCAGGCCUGCUGCUUCCAUUCUAGCCAACACAAGGGUCCCCUCCUACUUAGUUUUCCUCCUCCAGGCUAUACGUCUCUUUCUAUGAGGUGCUUAUAUUGCAAUCAUUCUGGAACAUUCUGGAAGAGGCUAGCCUCUCUUUUGGUCCUGGCCACAUAGCACUGCUAUAGCACAGGGAAGAAGGGAGCUGCCAGGGGAUGGUGUGCAGGGAUGGCCACCAUGAGGAUCCUGAGGAUGGAAAGGAACCCCUUCCAGAAUCUUGGAAGCCAGUUUGGUGAGAGAAAGAGGGACAUAUGCCUUGGUGACACUUUUUUGAGUACCUGGAUGAGAUGUCACCUAAACCCAAAAUUCCACUGACUUGUUCAAUACCUUCCAAUCAUUUGUCAUAAAUUAUCUUUUUAUCUAUCCAGUUCGAGCUGAGGUUUUCUUUUGCAACUUAAAGAUUUUUAAAUGGAUAUUAUUAUUCACUUCUUUCUUGCUCAUCCAUCCACAAAGCCCCUUUCGACCACACCCCUUCUCCAAACUCUCUUUAGAACGUAAACUUUUUCAAGCUGAGAAAUGAACCCGACUUCCUGAAAAUCUCACUCGAAAGUUUAAUAGUAAUAAUGCACAAAUAAUGAUGAUAGUACCCACAACCGUGGCUCCUACUUAAUGAGUGCUUAUUAUAUACCAAUGAUAAGUUCAGGCAGUGGUGUUUCAAAAUUUUUCUUCAAAUUUACUCUCCAAAACCCUGAUGUCCACACCACACUUACAUCAAUUAGAUUUUGGUAGCACAAGAAUCUCUGGGAGUAGAAAAUAGGGUCAUCAUUUUUAAAGCUCUCCACGUAAUUCUACAAGCAGUUGAAUUUGAGAACCUCCCACUAAAGGUUUCCUAAUGAAUUAUUUUAUUUAAUCCUUAUAGCAAUGAUAUGAAAUGCUCAUUUAGUAUUAGUAUCAUUUAGCUAGUGAGGAAGAAGUCCGAGUCUCAGAAAAUUCACACAGGUAACAGGCAACAGACAUGGCUUUGAGAAUAUUAAAAUAGACUGGGGUUCAUAAACAUCAGCACGUAAUAGGAAGUGAAAAAAGCCAAGAACAUGGAUAAUCCACAGAGAAAGCAAACUUUGGUGGAAAAAACAGCAAAAGCCAGAGUAUUCAGAAUACUGCUACCUGACCUUAGGAGAAGCGUUUUAAAAUGGAGAAGUGGUUUCUAAGCUGAGCAGCGGACACACCCUAGUUCUCUUCAUUUCCUAUCAUUCCAUAGAUUUUUAUCAAACUGCAUCCAUAAAUGAAACACUUAAUUGAUAAGCAGGCUACGGGCUGCAGUGAAAGAAACAGGCAAGCCUGAAAGAAACUCUCCAUGUGGCAGAGGAAUUGAUUUAGACUCCCAAAGCUUGGAGACAAAAGGGGUCUGAUAUAGUGUAGGCAACUGUCUUUAACCAAUAUUGAUAAUGAAACUUCAAGUCAAGGCAAUAAAUCUGCACUCAAAAACCAACUUUAUAACCAUUAUCAAUACAGUUCUUGGAACUAACAAGCUUACCUGAAACCUGACUAAAAUGUCAUUGAGAGAAGAAGAAAAAACAUUUUUUUAUAUUGAAAAUUGAACAAUUUUGAACCAUCAGCAAAGCAUUAAUGUGACCAGCUUGAUACAAAACUGAAAGACAGAACUGUUGAAAUACAAUCAUAUGAUAAAUGUAAAUCAUGGACUGUAUUCACAUGGAACAUUUAAAGAAAUCGUCUUGAAAAUAAUUCUGAUUUUUCUUUCCUUUCAUUUUUUGCAUUUUCCUGUAGAGCAUCUUAACCUCUUCAGCAAUAAAAGCAGUAUUUGGCUGUUUGCUCUAUGACAAGAUUUGCCACCAGCUACUGCACUGUUACAUAUCUGAAGAAUAAUCAUUCUAGGGGACUUUUUGCUUCCUGCAUCUCCGCAGCAACAGAUAAUUUUUGAUGUCAAAGAAAGUCUUUUGACUUUUAAGGAAUAAAACAAAAGUUGUAGGUAGGGAUGCAAAGUAGAAAAUCGCUAGUUUUAUAUCA